CCUACGGGAGGCAGCAGUGAGGAAUAUUGGUCAAUGGGCGGAAGCCUGAACCAGCCAAGUAGCGUGCGGGAUGAAGGCCCUACGGGUCGUCAACCGCUUUUGCACGGGGAUAACACCCUCCACUUGUGGAGGUCUGCAGGUACCGUGCGAAUAAGGGCCGGCUAAUUCCGUGCCAGCAGCCGCGGUAAUACGGAAGGCCCGAGCGUUAUCCGGAUUCAUUGGGCUUAAAGGGCGCGUAGGCGGGCGUUCAAGUCAGCUGUAAAAUCGCGCGGCUCAACAGCGCCCCGCAGUUGAAACUGGACGCCUUGAGUUCGCAACAGGCAGGAGGAAUUCGUGGUGGAGCGGUGAAAUGCAUAGAUAUCACGAGGAACCCCGAUUGCGAAGGCAGCCUGCCGGGGUGCGACUGACGCUGAGGCUCGAAGGUGCGGGUAUCAAACAGGAUUAGAUACCCCUGUAGUC
rnacentral:rRNA from 1 species